CGACCGGCGCACGGGUGAGUAACGCGUAUCCAACCUGCCCCACCCACUUGGGAUAACCUUGCGAAAGUAAGACUAAUACCCAAUGAUAUCUCUAGAAGACAUCUGAAAGAGAUUAAAGAUUUAUCGGUGAUGGAUGGGGAUGCGUCUGAUUAGCUUGUUGGCGGGGUAACGGCCCACCAAGGCAACGAUCAGUAGGGGUUCUGAGAGGAAGGUCCCCCACAUUGGAACUGAGACACGGUCCAA
rnacentral:rRNA from 1 species